UAGAAGUCAGGUCGGAUUAAGCCAUAGUACGGAAAAAACUAUGCUACCUGUGAGCCCCGUCCAAGGACGUUAAAAGAAGUCAGGCCAUCACAAAUGCCAUAGCUUGAGUAAACUGUGCUGCCUGUAGCUCCACCUGAGAAGGUGUAAAAAAUCUGGGAGGCCACAAACCAUGGAAGCUGUACGCAUGGCGUAGUGGACUAGCGGUUAGAGGAGACCCCUCCCUUACAAAUCGCAGCAAC
rnacentral:lncRNA from 1 species